rnacentral:rRNA from 1 species
UACAGAGGUCUCAAGCGUUGUUCGGAUUCAUUGGCGUAAAGGGUGCGUAGGUGGCGCUGUAAGUCGGUGUGAAAUUUCGGAGCUUAACUCCGAAACUGCAUCGAUACUGCCGUGCUUGAGGACUGGAGAGGAGACUGGAAUUACGGUGUAGCGGUGAAAUGCGUAGAUAUCGUAAGGAAGACCAGUGGCGGAAGGCGGGUCUCUGGACAGUUCCUGACGCUGAGGCACGAAGGUCAGGGAGGCAAACGGG